UUUUUUUUUCUGAGAGGUACUUUUCUUUUGUCUCACAUAAACACUUCAAUCAACAUGUGGUAGCUGCACACACUAACCGGACGACCGGGGUGGUAGCUCUUUCCUCCAUGUGGUGGUAGUUUUCACACUCCCAGCAGGGUUGUAACUCUUUCCACAUAUUGAAUUUCAGAAAUAUUCAUAGCUAGAAUUAGAAAAACUCCCUCUAAAUUAGUGCAACCCUCAAGUUAAAAAUAUUAUAGUUAUUUCAAAACAGAGAAAGAUUUAUUCAUCUCAAAACUAAUAAUCAAACAAAUGAUUGCAACAUUCAAAGUUCGACGCAUGAGGUGCUGAAUAUGAUCCAACAUGUUAACUAGAAUCUUAAUGAUUUGAUCGUUUAAAAAUAUGCAAAUAGAGAAUAACCCUGACAGUGAUCAAUCAAAAAGUAAAUAUGAAAUAAUUCAAGUCAUAGACCAAUUCACGUCCCAAAACAGCAACAUUCUUCUCGAAAUUCAAUCUACUACCAAACACUGAAAAUCAUGCAAGAAAAGAAAACAAAAUAUGCACCAUGCACAUGAUCUGUGGCUCAAUAGAAUAUAUCUAGAUUGAUGGGUUCAU
rnacentral:lncRNA from 1 species